GGAUAUGUUAAUAGCAUAUUCAUUUGACGUUAGCUGCAGAAGAAGCACCGGCUAACUCCGUGCCAGCAGCCGCGGUAAUACGGAGGGUGCGAGCGUUAAUCGGAAUUACUGGGCGUAAAGCGCAUGCAGGUGGUUUGUUAAGUCAGAUGUGAAAGCCCGGGGCUCAACCUCGGAAUUGCAUUUUGAAACUGGCAAACUAGAGUACUGUAGAGGGGGUAGGAAUUUCAGGUGUAGCGGUGAAAUGCGUAGAGAUCUGAAGGAAUACCGGUGGCGAAGGCGGCCCCCUGGACAGAUACUGACACUCAGAUGCGAAAGCGUGGGGAGCAAACAGGAUUAGAUACCCUGGUAG
rnacentral:rRNA from 1 species